rnacentral:lncRNA from 10 species
GCCUGCUAGUCCAAAGCCACUUGAGUCCUGGGAGCAGCAUUGCCAUGUGCAAGAGCAGUAGGGAGUGACAUCACAUCUGUAACUAUAGGAGUGUUUCCUUGCUAUCAGAUCCAAGUGAAUACAAUCCUUUGUACCGAGUUACCUUGAGGUAGCCAAAUGUGCCAGAGUCAACUCUAGUUAGAAUGAAUGAGUAGAUGUGCACUUUCAGCUAAGCUUGGCAGGAUCUCCAAACUCCUAAACUCUGUGUCCUGGUAAGUCAUCACCAGGACUAAUCACAAACGUUAAAUGAUUUGUUUUUCUGAAAAUUCCGUAUAAAUAAUCUAGUAUUUGCAAUCAUUUAUGUUGGGCUUCUUUCACUAAGUGUAAUAUUUUUGAGGCCCACCCAUGUUGUAGUAUGUAAAAAGUAAUUCAUUUCUUUUGGUGAUUGACUACUAUCUUAUUUUAUGGAUAGAUCACAUUUUGUUUAUCUUUUCACCAGUUGUUGGCUGUUUGAGAGGCUUCCAGCUUUUUGGCUAUUAUAAAUAAUGCUGCCACGAUCAUUCACAUCUUUGGUGGACAUCAGUUUUCAUUCCUCUCAAGUAAAUGCCUAGGAUGGAAUUGCUACGUUGUGUGGUAAGUUUCUGUUUACGUUUUUAAGAAGUAGCCAUAUUGAUUUCCAAAAUUUCAAGGUGUUCUCCCAUUAGCAAAUCCUGACCAAUAUUUGGUAUUGUCAUUCUUUUUGAUUAUAGCUUUUCUAGUCUCUGUGAAGUAGUAUUUCAUUGUGAUUUUAGUUUGAUUUUUCCUGAUGAUUACUCAUGUUGAACAUCUUUUCAUGAACUUCUCGAUCACGUUUGCAUUUUUCUUUAUGUCUAUUCAAAUCUUUUGUCCUUUUUUAAAAAACUGGAUUGUUUGGCUUCUUACUGAGUUAUAAAAAGUCUUUUUUUUUUUUUUUACCAUGAGUACUAGUCUUUUCUUAGUUAUAUAUGUUGCAAAUAUUUUAUCCCAGUCAGUGUCUUGCCUUUUCAUUAUUAAACGAUAUAUUUUGAAGGUAAAAAGAUUUUAAUUUUGAUAAAAUUUAUCAAAGAUACCCAAUUUAUCAUUUUUUCAUUUAACACAUUUUGCUUUUGGUGUCAUAUCUGAGAAAUAUUUGCUUAAUCCAAGGUCAUGAGGAUUACCUUCUAUUUUUUUUUCUAAUUGUUUAAUAGCUUUAGCUCCAAUAUUUAAGUCUAUAAUCCAUUUUUGAGUUAAUUUUUAUAGAUGGUGUGAGGUCUGAAUUAAAGUUUAUAUUUUCAGUGUAUAAAAAUCCAGUUGUCUUGACAUUUGCCUUUCC